UAAAUGUAGGGGUGUGUUUGUAUGUGGUUUUGUUGUUUGAAUACAAGCAUGCAUCUAUGUGUAGUUUUUUUUAAUGCUGGGGUGUGUUUAGAUAUAUUUUUGGUGUUUAACACAAAGGUGUGUUUGUAUGUAUUGUUGACGUUUCAAUGCAGGACUGUGUUUGUAUGUAGUAUUGAAGGUUGAAUGCAGGGGUGUACUUGUGUGUAGUGUUAGCGAUUUGAAU